ACGGGCAUACCAUGUUGAAUACACCGGUUCUCGUCCUGAUCACCGAAGAUAAGCAACGUCGGACCCGGUUAGUACUUGGGAGGGUGACCACCUGGGAACACUGGGUGCUGUGGGAAUCU
rnacentral:rRNA from 1 species